CAUUGUAUGUGGCGAUCUAUUUUUUACAGUCUAUGCUCGCUAUCCCAAGGUUCAUUGCGAUCCCAAGGUUCACUGCGGUUUUCCACAAGCCUGUUUCUGCCUAUCACCAUGAGUGAUUCCUUGAUACUCAUAUUUAUCAUCAAGAUCUCAAUUAUAAGCUCAAGUCUUGAUGACAACUUGAUGAUCUGCAGGAAGCACCACCAUGUAUAGAGGGCAAAGACCACUCUGGAAUCAGUCAAGGCUCAUAGGAACUCCAAUCUUCCCAACUGUGAGAGGGCCUUGCUCCAGUGACUGUGAAAUGGAGUGAGGCAUACAAGGAUAUGUGUGGUUUUACUCUUGGGAAGGAGGUUGAACAGUGCAAUAUUUCUUCUAUAGGAUUGCAGUGACCAGACAUGCUACUGUAACUCUCAUGGUCAUGUGCUGGAAUUAGCAGAUAUUCAACAAUUUGGCCAUCUUGCUGACCUAUUGAUAUCAGAAGACCACAACAGCUCUGCAAAGCAAGUUGGAAAACAGAAUCCAUGAAACUGGCAGUGACCGGAAACCAGUUAGAAGACUUUGGUCUGUGACGUAGAGGAGUGGGCAGACGGUGAGGAAAUUCUUAUUAAUAUUACAUGUAGUCAUGAAAAAUUGUAAGUGUUACUAUUAUUGUCAUUUUUUUCAGUAGCAGAAGCAAAGACGACAAACAACAGAAGUGAUAUGGAUGUCUUCGUCAUAUGGCAUGACUCUGCUGACCCAGCAACAAAGAGGAGGGUGUUCAACAUCAUCCUGCUAGUCAGGAUUCUUCAGAAGCAGUGGAUUCUUGUGGCAGAGAUGGCCAACCACUAUAAAUACAUUUCAACUCAUCCUGGUUCCUUCAAAGAACUUUCCUGCUUGUUUGCUACUGAAAAGUAUAUUCGACAUGUGGCCUAAACGAAGAGGGGUUAAAAGGUCUAUGGAUCAUCAUUCUCAGAAAGCAACAA
ensembl:processed_transcript